ACUUAGCUUAUACAGGGUGUAUAAAAAAAAAGGAGACAUUAGAAAUCAAGCAUAUUGUUAAAAUUUGAAUGCCUUUUCAAUUGCACAUAUGCUGAGCAUAUAUUAGAAAAAGGAGACCUUUAGAAAUUAAAAUAACGUUUAAACAAAAGAUUGUCUGCUCCUGGGAACAAUCUGCCAUGCAUAUACUGUACGUAGAUCGCAUGUUACGCACUCGUGGGCUUAGCAAAGUGCUCCAGGAUUCAAA